rnacentral:misc_RNA from 1 species
AACGUAGGAGGCAAGCGUUAUCCGGAUUUACUGGGCGUAAAGCGCGUGCAGGCGGUUUGUUAAGUCGUGCGUGAAAGCUCCCUGGCUCAACCGGGAGAGGUCGUGCGAAACUAGCAAACUGGAGACAGAGAGAGGCAAGUGGAAUUCCGGGUGUAGUGGUGAAAUGCGUAGAUAUCCGGAGGAACACCAGUGGCGAAGGCGACUUGCUGGCUCUGAUCUGACACUCAGACGCGAGAGCGUGGGGAGCGAACAGG